rfam:Rhizobium sp. 63-7 SCNpilot_expt_1000_bf_scaffold_2679, whole genome shotgun sequence.
CCAGUUGGCCGGGCAGCCGCGCUUUACCAAUGCCGAAAGGCGGUAGGGUGAGGAAAGUCCGGGCUCCACGGAAACACGGUGCCGGAUAACGUCCGGCGGGGGCGACCCCAGGGAAAGUGCCACAGAAAGGAAACCGCCCCGCCUGCUUUUGCGUCGUCGACACGGACGCCAAAGCUGGCGGGGUAAGGGUGAAAGGGUGGGGUAAGAGCCCACCGCGCGCCUGGCGACAGGGGCGGCAUGGUAAACCCCACCGGGAGCAAGACCGAAUAGGGAUGACGUGGGCGCGCAAGCGUUACAGCCCGUUUCCGGGCCGGUCAUCCGGGUGGGUUGCGAGAGGCAGGGCGCAAGUCCUGUCCCAGAGGAAUGGCUGCCACGCACCGGUGUCAUAACCGGAGCCAUACAGAACCCGGCUUACAGGCCAACUGGCAAU